UGGGCCAUUAGCUCAGUUGGUUAGAGCGCCCGGCUCAUAACCGGUAGGUCUGGGGUUCGAGUCCCUGAUGGCCCACCACAUUAAAUUAAUUAAUAUAAAUAUAAAUUCGAGGUGUAGCGCAGUUUGGUAGCGCACAUGGUUUGGGACCAUGGGGCCGGGGGUUCGAGUCCCUUCACCUCGACCAAUAUAAGGUGGGUAUAGCUCAGUUGGUUAGAGCGCCAGAUUGUGGCUCUGGAGGUCGUGAGUUCGACUCUCAUUAUCCACCCCAAAUUAUAUGGUCUAUUAGCUCAGUCGGUAGAGCACCUGACUUUUAAUCAGGGUGUCCCGCGUUCGAGUCGCGGAUAGAUCACCAAAAAGGNAGGCAAAUCCGCUUUGAUAAUGCUGGGAUGUGAUGGGGAGCGAAAUUUAGUAGCGAAGUAGCUGAUUUCACACUGUCAAGAAAAGUCUCUAUCGAGGUUAAAGGUACCCGUACCGCAAACCGACACAGGUGGGUGAGGAGAGUAUCCUAAGGCCAGCGAGAGAACUGUUGUUAAGGAACUCGGCAAAAUGACCCCGUAACUUAGGGAUAAGGGGUGCCACCAUCCGGUGGCCGCAGAGAAUAGGCCCAAGCGACUGUUUACCAAAAACAUAGGUUUCUGCUAAGUCGCAAGACGAUGUAUAGGAGCUGACGCCUGCCCGGUGCUGGAAGGUUAAGGGGAUCUGUUAGAGCAAUCGAAGCAGUGAACUUAAGCCCCAGUAAACGGCGGCCGUAACUAUAACGGUCCUAAGGUAGCGAAAUUCCUUGUCGGGUAAGUUCCGACCCGCACGAAAGGCGUAACGAUUUGGGCACUGUCUCAACAACAGACUCGGUGAAAUUGUAAUUCCGGUGAAGAUGCCGGAUACCUGCGACAGGACGGAAAGACCCCAUGGAGCUUUACUGUAGCUUGACAUUGGGUCUUGGUACUACAUGUACAGGAUAGGUGGGAGGCUUUGAAACCAGGACGCCAGUUUUGGCGGAGCCAUCCUUGGGAUACCACCCUUGUAGUACUGGGACUCUAACCAUAGGCCAUGAAUCUGGUCUUGGGACACUGUCAGGUGGGCAGUUUGACUGGGGCGGUCGCCUCCCAAAAGGUAACGGAGGCGCUCAAAGGUUCUCUCAGUACGGUCGGAAAUCGUACGUAGAGUGUAAAGGCAAAAGAGAGCUUGAUUGCAAGACAUACAGGUCGAGCAAGGAUGAAAAUCGGACUUAGUGAUCCGGUGGUUCUGCGUGGAAGGGCCAUCGCUCAACGGAUAAAAGCUACCCUGGGGAUAACAGGCUUAUCUCCCCCAAGAGUCCACAUCGACGGGGAGGUUUGGCACCUCGAUGUCGGCUCAUCACAUCCUGGGGCUGUAGUAGGUCCCAAGGGUUGGGCUGUUCGCCCAUUAAAGUGGUACGCGAGCUGGGUUCAGAACGUCGUGAGACAGUUCGGUCCCUAUCCGUCGCAGGCGUAGGAAAUUUGAGAAGACCUGUCCUUAGUACGAGAGGACCGGGAUGGACGUACCUCUGGUGUACCAGUUGUUCUGCCAAGGGCAUGGCUGGGUAGCUAUGUACGGAAUGGAUAAGCGCUGAAAGCAUCUAAGCGCGAAGCCAACUUCAAGAUAAGAUUUCCCACCGCAAGGGUAAGACCCCAGAAAGACUAUCUGGUUGAUAGGUCGAAGGUGUAAGUGCAGCAAUGUAUUUAGCUUAUCGAUACUAAUAGGUCGAGGACUUGACCAA
rnacentral:rRNA from 1 species